GGACUACCAGGGUUUCUAAUCCUGUUUGCUCCCCACGCUUUCGUGCAUCAGCGUCAGUUAUAGCCCAGAUGAUCGCCUUCGCCACCGGUGUUCCUCCUAAUAUCUAAGAAUUUCACCUCUACACUAGGAAUUCCAUCAUCCCCUACUACACUCUAGAUUAGCAGUUUUGAAAGCAAUUCCAAGGUUAAGCCUUGGGCUUUCACUUCCAACUUACUAAACCGCCUACGCACUCUUUACGCCCAGUAAUUCCGAACAACGCUAACCCCCUCCGUCUUACCGCGGCUGCUGGCAC
rnacentral:rRNA from 1 species